GUUUGUACUAAAAAUUCUUUUCAAUAUUGUGACAAGCACACUUUUUAAUAUUUUUAAAGUGAAAUAAAAAAAUAUUUUAAAUUCAUUUAUAAUUUCUUUAUUCAUAUUAUAUUUAAUUCAAAUGAGUUCAUUUCUGAGAUGCCAAAAUAUCCCUUGAUGUAUUGGCAAGUUAAAAGGAACAAAUUCCCUCUCCUAUCAAUAUAAUGAUCUUCUUAUUAUAAAACUUCCAUGUCUUGAUCAAGCAAUAUCUUGCACAACAUUAGCUCCUGUCGAAAGACUAUUUACAAUUGCUGUUUUCAGACCAGAAGAUUCAGACUAAUUAACAAAACAUUAAAAUAACUGUAUUAAAAAAUUAUCAAAUGCAACGCUUAAACUAUGCUUACAUGAAUAUUUUACACAUGCAUUAUAUA
rnacentral:lncRNA from 1 species